GCACCGCUGCAUGAAAGAAGCUAAAGAUUGACCUUGGCCGAGGAAUUUUAAUGGAAAACCAGAAGUGGCAGUGGCUUCCAGAAGAAACCGAGGGCUCCCUUGCUUUCUCAGAGAGAAAGAGCAAAGGCACUGUGGCGCAUCGAAAACCUGCACAACUAGAGCAUCCCUGGUUCACCAUGCUGCUCUUUCAUCAAAGAGGAAGGUCAUCAUCCUCAGAGAAGCUUCAUGCACUGAAGCAUGCUUUCCACCAGAGGAGCAGGUGGGAAACGAGUUCUUCCAAGGGAGCGUCUACCGAUACCUGGCGGGCAAGCUGAAAGUCAUCAGAAGGCCGAAUGAAUAAAUCGUUGGUGGUUCAUCUGCAUGUACAACCAUCAACUGUUGUGUGCACCUUUUUGCAGAUCCAUAUUACUUAGUC